UUGAUGGUUGGCUGAGUUCCAGUCCCACUCUCUGGGCAGAUAAUGCCAUCCUUGCCUUCAUAUGUGGACUGGGGCUCUUCAUCUUCUUACUUUCAUAUUUCCAGCCUGAUCCGUCCUCCCCACCACGCAAGAAAUACAGGAAGAGCAGGAAGGUAAGGAACCCUUGUCCCAGACCCAGCAGAGUAUGAUUCUAUCAUCUUUUCUAUUAUUCUUUCUACUUUUCCAAGUCACUGGAGAGACUCCUGAAAUGGGAAAGAAUAGAAUGGGUAUUCUCAGGAGAGAGUAGACCACCAUCCAUCCAGGACAAGCCAGACCAGGCAAGGGUUAGAGGGACAUGAGGAUUUCUCCCCGAAGAUCUCAGGCCAGAGUCCAGGUGUGGUGGAGGGGGGGGGGGGGCCUAGGGCA